rnacentral:lncRNA from 1 species
CACGGUCGAAUGGUCGUGGCUUAGCAUCGACGGAGCGGGGUCGUACCACCCCUCUCUUCCUCUUCAUCACCACCAUCUUCUACACCAAGCACAAGGAGAAGACAAGAUUUGAAGACGACACCAUUCCAGCAGCUUAAUCGGAGGUGGUCUGCAGGCUUGACCUGUGGACGUAAUUAAGCGGGAGCUUUCCGAGACCCUGUGAACCAAGAGACCACAAUCGUCCAUGUCAUGUUGGCCGUGCUAGCAGGCCACACGGAGCGCACUUUUCA